rnacentral:lncRNA from 1 species
CUACCUCAGAGGUCUGAGACCUCUAACUUUGUAUUUUUCUUUUAUUGCAAUUUUUCUGUUCCCUCUUGUCUUUAAGAAGCAUUCAAUCAAUAAAAUUGGGUUUCUCCUUUUGGAGGGCUUCUCCACUCUGCUCCCCCCCCUUUUUUUUUGCUUUAUGCAAUGAGAUGCGCCUUGACGCUUUUGUCUCCCAAUGACAGUGUCCUGCCGAAGCGCUUCCCCUGCCACAGGAGAUUCUGCUGAAGUCUAUUAUCCAACGUCUGAAGAAGAAAGUUCAUCAUUUAACAAAAAGGUCGAAGGAGAUGGAUGGCG